AUCACCUUCAGCUGAGUGCAGUGCCCUACUCCAGAGGGUGUCAUUCACUAAGAUAAAACAUGAUUGUCACCUUUUUGAGUAGAGCAAUGCACAUCAUGUAUAAUGUACAUGGUGGC
rnacentral:miRNA from 1 species